AUCGACUGCGGCCUGGCAGAAUCCCCUCGCCCCCGCCCCUUGUAAAAAAAAGCCUCCUUGUGCAAUGGUCUUUUUCCUUUGAACGUGCUUCUUUGUAAUGACCGAGGUACCGAUUUCUGCUAAGUUUUCCCAACAACAUGAAACUGCCUAUUCACGCCGUAAUUCUUUCUGUCUCCCUCUCACUUUCUCUCUUUCUCUCUCUCUUUCUCUCACCGUCUCCACAUCUUUCCUCGCAACCCCCUCUCCCCGCUGCCCUCCCUAGCUGGCUUUCUCUCUUGCUUCUCUCUUUUCCUCCUGUCCCCCCCCCCCCCCCACUCCCUUUGGUUUGACAAUUUUGUCUUAAGUGUUUCUCAAAAGAGAUUACUUUAGUUAGCAUGCGCGCUGUAAGCAAUUGUUAAAAGUGUUCUUAGGUUUACUGUGAAGAGAAUGUAUCCUGUAUCUGUGAAUUGCUUUAUGGGGGGGGGAGGGAGGGCUAAUUAUAUAUUUUGUUGUUCCUCUAUACUUUGUUCUGUUGUCUGCGCCUGAAAAGGGCGGAAGAGUUACAAUAAAGUUUACAAGCGAGAA
rnacentral:lncRNA from 1 species